rnacentral:rRNA from 1 species
CACGUAGGACGCAAGCGUUAUCCGGAAUUACUGGGCGUAAAGAGCGUGUAGGCGGUUUUGUAAGUCAACCGUGAAAGCUCCCGGCUAAACUGGGAGAGGUCGGAUGAGACUGCAGGACUUGAGGGUCGUAGAGGGGUGUGGAAUUCCGGGUGUAGUGGUGAAAUGCGUAGAGAUCCGGAGGAACACCAGAGGCGAAGGCGGCACCCUGGACGACACCAGACGCUGAGACGCGACAGCACGGGGAGCGAACGGG